AGUGAACGCUGGCGGUAGGCCUAACACAUGCAAGUCGAACGGCAGCACAGUAAGAGCUUGCUCUUACGGGUGGCGAGUGGCGGACGGGUGAGGAAUACAUCGGAAUCUACUUUUUCGUGGGGGAUAACGUAGGGAAACUUACGCUAAUACCGCAUACGACCUACGGGUGAAAGCAGGGGAUCUUCGGACCUUGCGCGAUUGAAUGAGCCGAUGUCGGAUUAGCUAGUUGGCGGGGUAAAGGCCCACCAAGGCGACGAUCCGUAGCUGGUCUGAGAGGAUGAUCAGCCACACUGGAACUGAGACACGGUCCAGACUCCUAAGGGAGGCAGCAGUGGGGAAUAUUUGACAAUGGGCGCAAGCCUGAUCCAGCCAUACCGCGUGGGUGAAAAAGGCCUUCGGGUUGUAAAGCCCUUUUGUUGGGAAAGAAAAGCAGCAGGUUAAUACCCCGCUGUUCUGACGGUACCCAAAGAAUAAGCACCGGCUAACUUCGUG
rnacentral:rRNA from 1 species